rnacentral:sRNA from 1 species
CUCUAGCCGGGGCUCCCACAAUGGACAAGUGUGGGAUCCCCAGUGUGCUCCCCGAAAGGACAGGCAAGUGCAUCUGACCCAUUUUGAGCUUGAAGGCCUUCGCUGCCUUGUAGAUAAGUUGGAGUCUCUGCCACUGCACAAGAAAUGUGUCCCCACAGGGAUAGAAGAUGAAGAUGCUCUCAUUGCUGAUGUAAAGCUUAAAUUCCCCACUCGGCCAAAGGUGCGGGUUCCUACCAUCCCCAUUACGAAGCCUCACACUAUGAAACCAGCUCCACGGUUAACACCUGUGAGGCCAGCUGCUGCCUCCCCGAUUGUGUCAGGAGCCAGACGGAGACGAGUGCGAUGUCGAAAAUGCAAAGCCUGUGUGCAAGGAGAGUGUGGUGUUUGCCACUACUGCAGAGACAUGAAGAAGUUUGGGGGGCCUGGACGCAUGAAGCAGUCCUGUGUCCUCCGACAGUGCUUGGCACCCAGACUGCCUCAUUCAGUCACAUGUUCCCUCUGUGGAGAGGUGGAUCAGAAUGAAGAGACACAAGACUUUGAGAAGAAACUCAUGGAAUGCUGUAUCUGCAAUGAGAUUGUUCAUCCUGGCUGCCUCCAGAUGGAUGGAGAGGGGUUGCUUAAUGAAGAAUUGCCAAAUUGCUGGGAAUGUCCAAAGUGCUACCAGGAGGACAGCUCGGAGAAAGCCCAGGUAAAGGAA